CGCUCGGUGCCUGGCACACUCGAGGGAUCGCAGGGAAGACACCGGGUGCUAUUUUAAGCUCUUACUCAGAGCUGAGGCCAGAGCGAGAACAGGCAGAGUGGGAGCCGAGGAGAGAAUGACUAAGUCCAGCUGUGUGCGGGGCAAGGCCAGAUGCGGGGGCCUCACUGGCGAAUCGGCUGUUCGCAUUCGCACAAGGGACACAGACGAUGAACAAGUGACCCGGGAAUGCCAAGUUGAUGUAAAAUUAUACCAAUGAUGACAGAGGCUCGGGAACAACACGGAAGCCAGCCAGAGGUGAUGCCCACAGUUUGAUGGUCUUGGGACUCAAAGCGUAGAACAGGAAGCCAAGAACCUGAAGGCAGCCUGAGGAGGU